rnacentral:rRNA from 1 species
UUAAAUUGCUGUGGUAUUUUGACUAUACAAAGGUAUUGUAUAGAUUUUAUUGAAUGCUAAGAGAAUGGACUCUCAGAGAAAAACUUUUUUUAAAUUAAAAAUUGAAAUUUUUUUAAUUUGUGCAGAAACAAUUAUUAAUAUUAAGGACAAGAAGACCCUAUGAAUUUAUUAAAUUUCAUUCAAUAUGUAAUUACUAUUGAAGAAAUUUUGGCUGGGGCGGCUAAAAAAUAUUUUAAACUUUUUAAAAAUAAAAUGAUCCAUUAUUAAUGAUUAUAUGUUAAAUACUCUAGGGAUAACAGCGUUAUAUUUUUUGAUAGACCAUAUUGACAAAAAAGUUUGCGACCUCGAUGUUGGAUUAGGAUACUUUUUUAAUGCAGAUAUUAAAAAAAGAAGUUUGUUCAACUUUCAAUUUCCUACAUGAUCUGAGUUCAGACCGG